rnacentral:rRNA from 1 species
ACGGGAGGCAGCAGUGGGGAAUUUUGCGCAAUGGGGGAAACCCUGACGCAGCAACGCCGCGUGCGGGAUGAAGGCCUUCGGGUUGUAAACCGCUUUCAGUAGGGAAGAUUAUGACGGUACCUACAGAAGAAGCUCCGGCUAACUACGUGCCAGCAGCCGCGGUAAUACGUAGGGAGCAAGCGUUAUCCGGAUUCAUUGGGCGUAAAGCGCGCGUAGGCGGCUUGUUAAGUCAGGUGUUAAAUCCUGGGGCUCAACCCUAGUCCGCACCUGAAACUGGCAGGCUUGAGUACGGUAGGGGAAAGUGGAAUUCCCAGUGUAGCGGUGAAAUGCGCAGAUAUUGGGAAGAACACCGGUGGCGAAGGCGGCUUUCUGGGCCGUUACUGACGCUGAGGCGCGAAAGCUAGGGGAGCAAACAGGAUUAGAUACCCUGGUA